AUUGAACGCUGGCGGCAGGCCUAACACAUGCAAGUCGAAUGGUAACAGGAAACAGCUUGCUGUUUCGCUGCCGAGUGGCGGACGGGUGAGUAAUGUCUGGGAAACUGCCUGAUGGAGGGGGAUAACUACUGGAAACGGUAGCUAAUACCGCAUAACGUCGCAAGACCAAAGAGGGGGACCUUCGGGCCUCUUGCCCUCAGAUGUGCCCAGAUGGGAUUAGCUAGUAGGUGGGGUAACGGCUCACCUAGGCGACGAUCCCUAGCUGGUCUGAGAGGAUGACCAGCCACACUGGAACUGAGACACGGUCCAGACUCCUACGGGAGGCAGCAGUGGGGAAUAUUGCACAAUGGGCGCAAGCCUGAUGCAGCCAUGCCGCGUGUAUGAAGAAGGCCUUCGGGUUGUAAAGUACUUUCAGCGGGGAGGAAGGGAGUAAAGUUAAUACCUUUGCUCAUUGACGUUACCCGCAGAAGAAGCACCGGCUAACUCCGUG
rnacentral:rRNA from 1 species